GAGGUGAAAAUGAAAACAGUCUUUAGUCUUUACAUUACCUACAAUAUAAACUACGAUAAUGUGUGUCAGUGUAGAUAGUCAUGAAUGAACAACAGAGAACAAGAACAGUUUUUACACUAACUAAAAUAUAAACUAAGAUAACGUGUGUCAGUGUAGGUAGAGAUGAAUGAGCAACAGAGAACGAAAACAGUCUUUACACUACAUAAAAUAUAAACUAAGGUAACGUGU